rnacentral:rRNA from 1 species
GAUGAACGCUGGCGGCGUGCUUAACACAUGCAAGUCGAACGAUGAAGCCCAGCUUGCUGGGUGGAUUAGUGGCGAACGGGUGAGUAACACGUGAGUAACCUGCCCUUAACUCUGGGAUAAGCCUGGGAAACUGGGUCUAAUACCGGAUAGGAGCGUCCACCGCAUGGUGGGUGUUGGAAAGAUUUAUCGGUUUUGGAUGGACUCGCGGCCUAUCAGCUUGUUGGUGAGGUAAUGGCUCACCAAGGCGACGACGGGUAGCCGGCCUGAGAGGGUGACCGGCCACACUGGGACUGAGACAAGGCCCAGACUCCUACGGGAGGCAGCAGUGGGGAAUAUUGCACAAUGGGCGCAAGCAUGAUGCAGCGAAGCAGCGUGAGGGAUGACGGCCUUCGGGUUGUAAACCUCUUUCAGUAGGGAAGAAGCGAAAGUGACGGUACCUGCAGAAGAAGCACCGGCUAACUACGUG